rnacentral:rRNA from 1 species
CUUUUAUGGGGUGACUGCGUACCUUUUGUAUAAUGGGUCAGCGACUUAUAUUCUGUAGCAAGGUUAACCGAAUAGGGGAGCCGAAGGGAAACCGAGUCUUAACUGGGCGUUAAGUUGCAGGGUAUAGACCCGAAACCCGGUGAUCUAGCCAUGGGCAGGUUGAAGGUUGGGUAACACUAACUGGAGGACCGAACCGACUAAUGUUGAAAAAUUAGCGGAUGACUUGUGGCUGGGGGUGAAAGGCCAAUCAAACCGGGAGAUAGCUGGUUCUCCCCGAAAGCUAUUUAGGUAGCGCCUCGUGAAUUCAUCUCCGGGGGUAGAGCACUGUUUCGGCAAGGGGGUCAUCCCGACUUACCAACCCGAUGCAAACUGCGAAUACCGGAGAAUGUUAUCACGGGAGACACACGGCGGGUGCUAACGUCCGUCGUGAAGAGGGAAACAACCCAGACCGCCAGCUAAGGUCCCAAAGUCAUGGUUAAGUGGGAAACGAUGUGGGAAGGCCCAGACAGCCAGGAUGUUGGCUUAGAAGCAGCCAUCAUUUAAAGAAAGCGUAAUAGCUCACUGGUCGAGUCGGCCUGCGCGGAAGAUGUAACGGGGCUAAACCAUGCACCGAAGCUGCGGCAGCGACGCUUAUGCGUUGUUGGGUA